AUUGAACGCUGGCGGCAUGCUUUACACAUGCAAGUCGAACGGCAGCGCGGGCUUCGGCCUGGCGGCGAGUGGCGAACGGGUGAGUAAUGCAUCGGAACGUGCCCAGUAGUGGGGGAUAGCCCGGCGAAAGCCGGAUUAAUACCGCAUACGACCUGAGGGUGAAAGCGGGGGACCGAAAGGCCUCGCGCUAUUGGAGAGGCCGAUGUCGGAUUAGCUAGUUGGUGGGGUAAAGGCUUACCAAGGCGACGAUCCGUAGCUGGUCUGAGAGGACGACCAGCCACACUGGGACUGAGACACGGCCCAGACUCCUACGGGAGGCAGCAGUGGGGAAUUUUGGACAAUGGGGGCAACCCUGAUCCAGCCAUGCCGCGUGCGAGAAGAAGGCCUUCGGGUUGUAAACCGCUUUUGUUCGGGAAGAAAUCCUCUGGGCUAAUACCCCGGGGGGAUGACGGUACCGGAAGAAUAAGCACCGGCUAACUACGUG
rnacentral:rRNA from 1 species